UUUCCCUAUGAUGAUAUGUAAUCUUUAAAGUAGUGGACCGAAUUCCCUUGAUGAGAAACGAAAUCUGAGGGAUG
rfam:Cajanus cajan chromosome 9, whole genome shotgun sequence.